AAAAAGACAAACCCUAAAUUUCCGUAUCCAAUGUUUAACUGUCCGUCUUAUAUAAUUUUUUUUAAUUAGUAUUUUCAUUGUAGUUAGAUGAUAAAACAUGAUUAAUACUUUAUGCGUGACUUAUCUUUUUAAUUUUUUUCAUAAUUUUUUUAAAUAAGACGUGCGGUCAAACAUUGGACACGAAAAUCUAAUGUUUGUCUUUUU
rfam:Oryza sativa (indica cultivar-group) chromosome 12, whole genome shotgun sequence.